AUUGAACGCUGGCGGCAGGCCUAACACAUGCAAGUCGGACAGUAGCACAGAGGAGCUUGCUCCUCGGGUGACGAGUGGCGGACGGGUGAGUAAUGUCUGGGGAUCUGCCCGAUAGAGGGGGAUAACCACUGGAAACGGUGGCUAAUACCGCAUAACGUCGCAAGACCAAAGAGGGGGACCUUCGGGCCUCUCACUAUCGGAUGAACCCAGAUGGGAUUAGCUAGUAGGCGGGGUAACGGCCCACCUAGGCGACGAUCCCUAGCCGGUCUGAGAGGACGACCAGCCACACUGGAACUGAGACACGGUCCAGACUCCUACGGGAGGCAGCAGUGGGGAAUAUUGCACAAUGGGCGCAAGCCUGAUGCAGCCAUGCCGCGUGUAUGAAGAAGGCCUUCGGGUUGUAAAGUACUUUCAGCGGGGAGGAAGGCGAUGUGGUUAAUAACCGCGUCGAUUGACGUUACCCGCAGAAGAAGCACCGGCUAACUCCGUGCCAGCAGCCGCCGUAA
rnacentral:rRNA from 1 species